AUUGAACGCUGGCGGCAGGCCUAACACAUGCAAGUCGAGCGGCAGCGGGACCUUCGGGUUGCCGGCGAGCGGCGGACGGGUGAGUAAUGCCUAGGAAUCUGCCUGUUAGUGGGGGAUAACGCGGGGAAACUCGCGCUAAUACCGCAUACGUCCUACGGGAGAAAGCGGGGGCUCUGCGGACCUCGCGCUAACCGAUGAGCCUAGGUCGGAUUAGCUAGUUGGUGGGGUAAUGGCCCACCAAGGCGACGAUCCGUAACUGGUCUGAGAGGAUGAUCAGUCACACUGGAACUGAGACACGGUCCAGACUCCUACGGGAGGCAGCAGUGGGGAAUAUUGGACAAUGGGCGAAAGCCUGAUCCAGCCAUGCCGCGUGUGUGAAGAAGGUCUUCGGAUUGUAAAGCACUUUAAGUCGGGAGGAAGGGCUGUAGGCUAAUACCUUGCAGUUUUGACGUUACCGACAGAAUAAGCACCGGCUAACUUCGUGCCAGCCGCCGCCGUAACAC
rnacentral:rRNA from 1 species